CUGCUCACUUUGGCAGCACAUAUACUAAAACUGGAAUGAUACAGAGAAGAUAAGCAUGGCCCCUGCACAAGGAUGACAUGCAAAUUCGUGAAGCAUUCCAUAUUUUU
ensembl:snRNA U6 U6 spliceosomal RNA